GAACCUGUGAAAUACAAUUGAGUCAACAGUUCCACUCAGGCUAUAAGCCUGUAUUAUGAAAGAAGAGGAAGGUGCUUUGCUGGAUGAUUCUUGCACAGGAGUGGAAAAACUAUGACCCAUCGCCAGUUUUUGUAUGGACUGCGAGCUAAAGGGUAAUCAUCUGUGGCAAUGGUACUGAAGAAAAUCCUUUGUUUUUGUAUAUUCAAAAAUGUGUCUCAUUUUCAAACAAUGUGAUGCAU